CUCAGCUCCCAGCGGCGGCGGCGGCCAUGUUGGCCUUGAUCAUGUGACCCGCCGCCGUCGCGCGCCGGGGGUGAAAGUUCAAGAAGUGGCGGGUGGAGGGGUGGGUCUGCCGGACCAGGACCAGGAAACAGCUGCUCGCACUCGGGCAGCAACAGGCUGAGGCCGCCCAGGGGUUCCUCCCACCGCCCGCCAAAACCAGCCCGCCCCGGUUUUAGCGGCUGCGAGGUCCUCCCACCCAACUCCACGCCCCUUCUUAGCGCGGGGCUUCUUCCGUCCCGGAGCCCCGCCCGGCUCCCGCCUCCCGCGCCUCUACCCCUUUGCUGGGGAGGUGGCGUAGGACUUCCUGGUCGCCGCGGGUCGUGCCACCGUAAGUCCCAACUGUCCAGCCCCCAGCAGUCUGGACCCUAGAGGAUUCCAAACAUUUCAGCUGUUUUCUGGACAACCCCUGGAGCUGCUACUGGUAACGCACACCCACGAGUUGGAACCCAGCAUCCCUCAAACAAGUGCUUUCCUCCAGGAUUCUCAGUUCCUAACGGGAUACCACCAUCUACUCUGGUGUGCCCACACCAGAAGCUUGAAAGGUCAUUAGACGCAACGGGAACCAAACACAGUUCAGUCCCCUGCCCGUCUUCUGGGGAGAGGAGGAGUUAACUGGGUUAACUCUGAUGGACUCAUCCAAGUGCCCAGCCUGCCCUGCUCACCUGGUAUCUGUCUGAGUGGUGCAGGUCGUCGGUGGCUGAUGAGUGUGGUGAUGCCGUCGGAGACUCUCCUUCCCUCUUGAUGGAAGCAGACAACAAGAGGGACUGAAAGAAGAAAAAGGACACAUGGCCUCAGGCUGAGUGAGACCUACAGUCCAUCCCCUAGGGUGUUGGGUCCUAUGGCGCUUUUAGGAGGGGGGCAGAGAAAAGGAGAGCAGGGGGGUGGAGGCUACACUUGAGAUUCUAAAGGCAUGUGGUCAGGCCCCGGAGUCUGGUUGUGGGAGAGGAUGGCUUGAUCCUGGGGAUGGGUGGAAGCCCCUGGAGAGGGUCCAGUCUCCUCCACCCCAACUAAUCUCUGUCCCUGUGGGGCAGGCCUCCCAGGGGGCUGAGGCUGUAUAGGCUUUGUUCUCCCGUAGGGAGCAGAGACUCUGGGACCCUAAAGGGUUGGGGCAGAGCCACAUCCCUGCCACUCUGCUUGCCCCUAAUACAGGCUGGUGGCAGCCCCGCUAUGGAGACAGUAAAUUAAAUAGUAUGUAUGAGUUUCCUCCAUGCAACUAGGGAUGUGCAUUGGCUCCACUUCUCCCUGUGCUGUGGCGGUGACCCCAGCAAAAACCACAGCAAAAGUAAUCCCCCCGUGUCAAUCCCGCAUGGCCUCUUCUACAUACGCCGCAGUUUAGAUUAAUAAACUGUCUGCUUUAAACUGCGCGAGCUCCACAAUUCUAAAUACCACAUGGCACAUUCAGCCUGUUCUUGCUGGCUUGUGCCAAGGCCUGUUCAGCUGCAAACUGGGGGCCUGGAGGCCUGAAAGCAAUCCAUACUUCCCGCGCCCCCCCACCCCCCACCUUCUCCAGCCUGCACAGCUCUGAGCCGGAAGCAUACAAUUCCCUCGGAGGCCUCCCCAGCCUAGAAAACCAUGCCAAAUCGCCAGUGACAGCCCAAAGAAAGCAAUCUGGGAAAGAUGGAGCAGCCAUUUAUCCUUCAUCUCCGACUGAGCCUUAGGAUGUGACCCGCAUGCGGUGGCCACGCUGCACAUCCUCACGCCUGAGGGCCCUGGGAGGGGAGGGGGCAGCUGCUGGUCUGGCAGGGCUCCCUGACUCGGCCUCAGCCCAGGAGCUGGAUCGGGGAGGAGGCCGGGCAGGGCCUGGGGUGGGAUUCCCUGCAACUUGGGGCCCCUUCCUCACCCACCCUGGCCCAGUGGGAGGCCUAGUGAGUGCCUCAGCUCCCAGCUCAGAGAAGAGGUGGGCUUUCAGGCAAUGUCCUCCUCCUCUGGUCCCAAGGAGGAUGCUGAGGAGGGACAACAUUGUGGGGCCCCCGCCCCUCCAUCAGGAGAAAGCUUGAGCUCAUUUGCUUGCGCGUGCUCUCUCAUUCUCUCUAGGUUAGAAGCCCUGAGAGGCCUCAGAAUUACACCUGGGGCAAACGGAAUAAAAAAAGGUCACUGGCGCUUUUUAAACAUGGACCAAAAAGCAGUAAAAUGUGUUUUGAAAAAAAAAUCCCAGCAUUAAAUCAUGACUUUUUGCCUGGC